rnacentral:rRNA from 1 species
UGCGUAGGCGGAUUAUUAAGUCAGGGGUGAAAGUUUGCGGCUCAACCGUAAAAUUGCCUUUGAUACUGGUAAUCUUGAGUACAUUUGAGGUAGGCGGAAUGUGAUGUGUAGCGGUGAAAUGCUUAGAUAUAUCACAGAACACCGAUUGCGAAGGCAGCUUACUAAACUGUAACUGACGCUGAGGCACGAAAGCGUGGGUAUCGAACAGGAUUAGAUACCCUGGUAGUCC